CCUACGGGAGGCAGCAGUGAGGAAUAUUGGGCAAUGGACGAGAGUCUGAACCAGCCAAGUAGCGUGAAGGAUGAAGGCCCGAUGGGUUGUAAACUUCUUUUAUAGGGGAAUAAAAUGUUCCACGUGUGGGAUGUUGUAUGUACCAUAUGAAUAAGGAAAGGCUAACUCCGUGCCAGCAGCCGCGGUAAUACGGAGGAUCCGAGCGUUAUCCGGAUUUAGUGGGGUUAAAGGGAGCGUAGGUGGAUUGUUAAGUCAGUUGUGAAAGUUUGCGGCUCAACCGUAAAAUUGCCGUUGAAACGUGCAGUCUUGCUUACAGUAGCGGUGGGCUGUCUUCGUGGUGUCGCGGU
rnacentral:rRNA from 1 species